rnacentral:misc_RNA from 1 species
AAAAAAAUAAAAAGCAAAUCAAUUUUUGAUUCUCUCACUUAACACAGAAAGAAAAAACUAAUCGAAAUAAUGGGAACGGAGAAUUGGAGUUUAACGGCGAAGUUAUGUGACUCAUGCAAAACGUCGCCGGCGACGGUGUUCUGCCGGGCAGAUUCAGCAUUUCUCUGCUUAGGAUGUGACUGCAAAAUCCACGCAGCGAACAAGUUAGCGUCACGUCACGCGCGUGUCUGGGUUUGUGAAGUGUGUGAGCAAGCUCCGGCGAGUGUCACGUGUAAAGCGGAUGCCGCUGCUCUCUGCGUUACGUGUGACCGUGAUAUUCAUUCAGCAAAUCCGUUAGCUCGUCGCCAUGAGCGUUUUCCGGUAGUUCCGUUCUAUGAUUUCGCCGUCGCGAAAUCUCACGGCGGUGGUGAUACCGAUGCCGAUGCUGUUGAUGAUGAGAAGUACUUUGAUAGUACUAAUGAGAAUCCUUCUCAACCAGAGGAAGAAGCUGAAGCAGCGUCGUGGAUACUUCCGACGCCGAAAGAAGGAACUGAUCAGUAUAAAUCUGCUGAUUACUUGUUUAAUGAUAUGGAUUCAUAUUUAGAUAUAGAUCUAAUGUCAUGUGAGCAAAAACCACAUAUUCUUCAUCAUCAACAGCAUCAACACAACCAUUACAGCUCCGACGGAGUUGUACCAGUACAGAACAACAACGAAACUACUCAUUUACCCGGUCCAGUCGUUGAUGGAUUCCCUACAUACGAACUCGAUUUCACUGGAUCUAAACCUUAUAUGUACAAUUUCACCUCUCAAUCGAUCAGCCAAAGUGUUUCAUCAUCAUCUCUUGACGUCGGAGUUGUACCAGACCACAGCACAAUGACGGAUGUAUCAAACACUUUUGUGAUGAACUCAUCUUCCGGUGCUAUUGCCGGCGCCGGCGCCGACGUUGUACCGAAUGCAGUUUCCGGUUUAGACAGAGAAGCAAGGGUAAUGAGGUACAGA